AUUGAACGCUGGCGGCAGGCCUAACACAUGCAAGUCGAGCGGGGUUUUCGGACCUAGCGGCGGACGGGUGAGUAAUGCGUAGGAAGCUACCCGAUAGAGGGGGAUACCAGUUGGAAACGACGGUUAAUACUGCAUAAUGUCUACGGACCAAAGUGUGGGACCUUCGGGCCACCUGCUAUCGGAUGUGCCUACGUGGGAUUAGCUAGUUGGUGAGGUAAUGGCUCACCAAGGCGACGAUCCCUAGCUGGUUUGAGAGGAUGAUCAGCCACACUGGAACUGAGACACGGUCCAGACUCCUACGGGAGGCAGCAGUGGGGAAUAUUGGACAAUGGGCGCAAGCCUGAUCCAGCCAUGCCGCGUGUGUGAAGAAGGCCUUCGGGUUGUAAAGCACUUUCAGUAAGGAGGAAGCGUUGAGUGUUAAUAGUACUCAGCGUUGACGUUACUUACAGAAGAAGCACCGGCUAACUCUGUGCCAGCAGCCGCCGUAAGAC
rnacentral:rRNA from 1 species